UCCCUCGGGCCGGAUUUGAACCAGCGACCAAAGGAUCACCGUUGUAACAUCUACAGUCCUCCGCUCUACCAACUGAGCUAUCGAGGG
rnacentral:tRNA from 1 species